UACGUAGGGUGCAAGCGUUGUCCGGAAUUAUUGGGCGUAAAGAGCUCGUAGGCGGUCUGUCACGUCGGCUGUGAAAUCCCGAGGCUCAACCUCGGGUCUGCAGUCGAUACGGGCAAACUAGAGUAUUGCAGGGGAGACUGGAAAUUCCUGGUGUAGCGGUGAAAUGCGCAGAUAUCAGGAGGAACACCGGUGGCGAAGGCGGGUCUCUGGGCAAUAACUGACGCUGAGGAGCGAAAGCGUGGGGAGCGAACAGG
rnacentral:rRNA from 1 species